rnacentral:rRNA from 1 species
CGGGACACGUGGUAUCCUGUCUGAAUAUGGGGGGACCAUCCUCCAAGGCUAAAUACUCCUGACUGACCGAUAGUGAACCAGUACCGUGAGGGAAAGGCGAAAAGAACCCCGGCGAGGGGAGUGAAAAAGAACCUGAAACCGUGUACGUACAAGCAGUGGGAGCACAGAGCAAUCUGUGUGACUGCGUACCUUUUGUAUAAUGGGUCAGCGACUUAUAUUCUGUAGCAAGGUUAACCGAAUAGGGGAGCCGAAGGGAAACCGAGUCUUAACUGGGCGUUAAGUUGCAGGGUAUAGACCCGAAACCCGGUGAUCUAGCCAUGGGCAGGUUGAAGGUUGGGUAACACUAACUGGAGGACCGAACCGACUAAUGUUGAAAAAUUAGCGGAUGACUUGUGGCUGGGGGUGAAAGGCCAAUCAAACCGGGAGAUAGCUGGUUCUCCCCGAAAGCUAUUUAGGUAGCGCCUCGUGAAUUCAUCUCCGGGGGUAGAGCACUGUUUCGGCAAGGGGGUCAUCCCGACUUACCAACCCGAUGCAAACUGCGAAUACCGGAGAAUGUUAUCACGGGAGACACACGGCGGGUGCUAACGUCCGUCGUGAAGAGGGAAACAACCCAGACCGCCAGCUAAGGUCCCAAAGUCAUGGUUAAGUGGGAAACGAUGUGGGAAGGCCCAGACAGCCAGGAUGUUGGCUUAGAAGCAGCCAUCAUUUAAAGAAAGCGUAAUAGCUCACUGGUCGAGUCGGCCUGCGCGGAAGAUGUAACGGGGCUAAACCAUGCACCGAAGCUGCGGCAGCGACGCUUAUGCGUUGUUGGGUAGGGGAGCGUUCUGUAAGCCUGCGAAGGUGUGCUGUGAGGCAUGCUGGAGGUAUCAGAAGUGCGAAUGCUGACAUAAGUAACGAUAAAGCGGGUGAAAAGCCCGCUCGCCGGAAGACCAAGGGUUCCUGUCCAACGUUAAUCGGGGCAGGGUGAGUCGACCCCUAAGGCGAGGCCGAAAGGCGUAGUCGAUGGGAAACAGGUUAAUAUUCCUGUACUUGGUGUUACUGCGAAGGGGGGACGGAGAAGGCUAUGUUGGCCGGGCGACGGUUGUCCCGGUUUAAGCGUGUAGGCUGGUUUUCCAGGCAAAUCCGGAAAAU